rnacentral:lncRNA from 1 species
GGGCUGUGGUCCAAUCCGCUUCUCUGCUGUCCCCUCCCCCCCUCAGAAGCCCUUGUGACAUGGCCACAGUUCCAUGAUGAGGGUGUGGGGUUCUAAUCUCCAAGUCACUCCCAGUGCUCAGUUGCCUGAGAGUAGAACUGUAUUUGAGAUAUGGAAACUCCUAUCAUAUAUAAAAAGCAUUGUUGUUACCUGGCUGAGCUCCAGUUCUGCUUCCUGGGUGAUUGGGACCAUCCUCCACAUCCUGUAUGGACUGGGGCUCUUCCUCCUGUUCCUUCCCUCCCUCCAGAGGAAUUUGCCCUUACAACCACCUUACAAAAGGAGAAACGUCAGGAAGCAUCAAGUGGAGCCAAGAGGGAGGAGCAGCAGGAGCAGGAAGAAGAGGGGAGCUUUGAAAGCUUACAGAGCUGGCCGGAAGGACCUGGCAGAAGUGCGGGGCCAGAUGUUGCUUUCGCAAAGUUAAGAAAUCUUGCCCUUCUCUCCUGGACUUCUUCCUCCCAGAGUCUCUGAUGCGCCCCAGGGCUGCAGGAAGUUUGGGGCUGAGCUGGGAGGGGAGCCAUGGGGACAGGGGUGGCAAAAGGCCUGGGGUGAGGGACAGCAGGAGAAUUUGGUGAAGUGGAGGUGGGGCCAGGGAGGGCCAUGGGUCUCAAGGGGCCACCCCCACCUGGCCUGUUCUGCUGUCCCAGGGCCCUCGGCUCCUGGCUGCAGCUUGUGCCUCCUGUCUCCCCCAGCUCCCCGGCGAGGCUUUCUUCUAAGGGAUGCUUCCAUCGCUUGUCAUCUCAAGACUCCCUUGGGGAGGCCUGCAAGACAGCAUCUGCCAGAGUCCGCCAACCAUGCCGGAAGCCUGUGGAAGGUACUCCUCUCACCCCGACUUCAGCACUUUUCCUUGCUCCUCUGACCCAGCCCACUCUACCUUUGGCCUCCACUCUGCCAGCAGAACCUCCAUCUGACUUGACCAGAAUCCCGCUAGGCCCUGUUGCCAUGAGCUCAACUCCAGCUCACUCCUGUUGGCCAUUUCUCAACUCAGGCCUCGGCCACAUGAGCUGUCGCAUUGAGUUCCUCUCCCGGUGGAACAUAAUCAAGGUCUUGUUCUUCCCUAUGUCAUCACACUUCGAGUCCCAGCAAGGGCACCUGUUCUGUCACCGACCAGUGCCCUCAUUCUGGGGAGGCCCCGCAAAUAGGGAGGGAGAGACUGAUAGCACCUCAGUUGCCAACCCUGAUGUCCAGAAGCUGCUCGAGACAGAAAUCACAGAAAGAAUACAAACGAAGGUCUGGGGAAAAGAAGAACAAGGUGAUCCAGGCACUCCUCAGAUGCUCGAAGCACACAGUAUCAUGUCUGGGCUGAAUUUCUGCUGGGGCCUACCCCUCCUGUCCUUGGAGCCUGCAGAUCUGAAAGCAUGCCUGGGAAGCUGGACAUGCCUGUUACCAUGAUGUCCCCUUCUCCCCAGACCAGAGAAGAUCAAUGACAGGAGACAGUCCCCAACCUACCUCCAGGGACCACAACUGUCUGAAUACAAGGGAAUGGAUCAAAACAGGCAUGGCAACUGGACCUUGCCAUCCAGGCAGCUGCAGUCCCCAGCCAAACCCUGCCAGCCUGGGCUGAGGGUGGCAGCUGUCUCAGCCAAUCCAUCACCUGCCAUGCUGUCUUCAGAUAUGUGUCUCCUGGGAUGAGUAGACUGUGCCUGACACACCUUUCUUCAUAGGAACGCUUAUCUCCCCAAAUGGGGAAGUGGAGGAACAGAAAACCUGUUUUUUCUCCUUAUCCCACCCUCUGUGCUAAUGGUGUCUUCCUACCCCAAUUUUCCCCAAAUACAAUUUUUUUCUCCUUAGAGUUCAUAGGUUCUGUCUGUGCCCUGCUAGUGGUAAAAACGGGGUGAGGCUCCACCCUUCCUAAGUGUCAGCUUUGGCUUCCAGAAGGGGCAGGGCCAUGGGGGGAGGCUGACUGCAGCAUGGCUCACCUUCCCUCAUCCCGACUCCCUCAUUGCACCUGAAGUCCCCGUAAGCUGUCCUUACAAAAACAAAUGGAAGCUUUAGGAUAUUUCCAGAUGAGCAAAACCUCUAAGACCGCAGCCCAGGAUGGGCCCCGCCUGUCCUCUCCUGCGUUCUCUGGCCCUUGAACUUGUGGGACUGUAUGCAGGGGGUUUGCAGAGGCUCCAGGAAGUGCAGAGAUAGGUUCACAGGUCACAGAGUGGGGAGGGGAGUGUGGGGCGGAUCUGGCCCUGAGUCCAGAGUGGGAAGAAUCUUGCCCCGCACCCCAAGCUCUUGUUGGGAAUAGAUGACCCUGCCCCAGGAGCAUCUUCUCUCCCUGCUGAAGCUGACCUGGAGAUGGGCCUGUGCAUCCCUUUCAGCCAAGCAUCACCCUCCCUCUGUCCUUGUCACAGUUUGGAACAGUAGCAAUGAGGAUGACUGUGCUCCUGGCUCUGAGGGCAGGCAGGUGGGGAGCAUGGACGCUGCUGUGGGCAUGUCCCCUCUGCCCAGAGGAGUGCAGGGCCCUGCUCUCCUGCACCUGCCUUCUCCUCCUGGGGAAUGGAGCCGGGGAUGAGUGUGUGGAGUCACCAUCUGAUGGUGGGACACUGUGUGACUAGGGUGGGACGUGGGGGAAGGAGACAAGGUGACACCAGAGUUUAACCACUUACCUACUGAAUGACAGUUUUUGAUUUUUAUUAUUUUACCCCUUAUAAAUAAAGCUGCCAUGAACUUCUUUGUGAAGGCUUUU